rnacentral:misc_RNA from 1 species
GGUGAAUGACAUCAUGCAUUACCUCAUGUAUAAUGCAAUAACUAUUAUAAUUAAUAAAUUUAUUCAAAUUAAAUUGUGGUUUUCCAUAAAGGAUAAAAAUCAUAAAAGAAAGAAAAAAAAUAAAAGAGAGUCAUCUUCAUCCCUAGCUGUGAACCCACCUCUCUCACCUCUCCCUCUCCACAAACUCCAUAAAAGCUCAUUUUUGAGCUUGAAUAUUACAAAAUUCCACCAUAGAAAAGUAAGCCACCAUAGUUAAAGCUUAUCAUAUGCAAG